AAGAGAGCUAUCCGUCGACAGUACAGUGAGUAAACUGUCAUGGAGUUGCUCUCUUUAA
rnacentral:pre_miRNA from 2 species